rnacentral:rRNA from 1 species
CCCCUAGAUGUUCUGGGCCGCACGCGCGCUACACUGAACAGUUCAACAAGUCUUAACCUUGGCCGAUAGGUCUGGGUAAUCUUUGAACGCUGUUCGUGAUUGGGAUAGACUUUUGCAAUUAUGGGUCUUCAACGAGGAAUUCCUAGUAAACGCAAGUCAUCAGCUUGCAUUGAUUACGUCCCUGCCCUUUGUACACACCGCCCGUCGCACCUACCGAUUGAAUGGUCCGGUGAAAUCUCGGGACGGCGGCUUGGUCGCUUGCGUCCGACUGCUGAAACUUGAUUAAACCAUAUCAUUUAGAGGAAGGUGAAGUCGUAACA